rnacentral:lncRNA from 1 species
UUCACUGCAUUUUUGAGUUUUCCCUUCCCCGGGUGCUUCUUGAACUUCAAAGCGUAGUCAUCAAACUUGACUGCGUUUCUGAGUUUUCUGAGGCCACUGUUUUUUUUUUUUUUUGGACUUGGCUUGUUGCACGAAGUCGCUGGAAAGAGUUGUAGGGAUCGGCGUUGAUGAAGAUGACGUCAUCGGUGACGGAGAGUGGGGUUGGAUUCAGAGCCGGUGACCGUCGAUGUCGUCUUCCACCUUCGUCGAGUCGUACGCCACAACGGGUGGAGAAAUAAGGAUAAAUUUGGAACCAUGUUAUGCAAAUUUCUGAAAAUUAAAUUUGUAUGUAUAAUGUACUUAGUUCUGGAAUUAAAACCAUAAGUAUAUUAAGGUCAAGGUCCAUCUCACUGCAAGACACCAGUGUGGCCUGCUCACCAUGGGCAAUAUAAGCCCAACAUGUUUUUUAACCGAGUAAAAUGAAG